UCAGCAGAUGUGGAUGUAAUACAGUGAGCAGGACCCAAACUCAAAUGUUUGCUGAAUGAAGGAACCAGAGUAGGCAAAGAGGUAACCAGCACCGUGUUAGGCCCUGGCGCGCCCCCAGGACGCCUGCAGAAGUGCCACGGGCAUGAUCCGGCCCACCUCGCCAGGCACCGCAGCGGAGAGAAGGCUCUUCCGAGUGGCCCCCAGAGGAGCCUUCGCGGGCAUCGCCGCACCUUCACCGGCAGCCCCACCCCAACCCGGGUCCCUCGGGAUUCUGCCCGAGCCUAGGCCAGCGCGAGCGUGGGCAGCGAGGAACCAGCUGAGAGGCAGGAUCAAAGAGCUCGGGAGUUGAAGACAAGGGAAAACUGGGGAACAGAGGCGAAAACUCGGAUCCGAAAGGGGGUCUGUCCAUCAGGGCACGCCGGAAGAGUGGCGCUCGAGCUGACGGCGAGCGCGGGCGGGCCGGGGCGCCGAGGCUCAGGGCUGCUUCGGCAGUUCGCGGGGGUAGCUUGCACCCCGUGAGGCGAGAGCACCGAGGGCGUCCAGCGGGGCUUACCUAACUCACCCUCCCGCGGAAGGGAAGCGGGGAACUACUGCCUCCUACCAUCAGGUGAAAAGAAACUUGGUACUGUUAUCACUCCAGAUACGUGGAAAGAUGGUGCUAGGAAUACCACAGAAAGUGGUGGAAGAAAGCUGAAUGAAAAUAAAGCUUUGACUUCAAAAAAAGCAAGAUUUGAUCCAUAUGGAAAGAAUAAGUUCUCCACUUGCAGAAUUUGUAAAAGUUCUGUGCACCAACCAGGUUCUCAUUACUGCCAGGGCUGUGCCUACAAAAAAGGCAUCUGUGCGAUGUGUGGAAAAAAGGUUUUGGAUACCAAAAACUACAAGCAAACAUCUGUCUAGAUGUAUUGGUGGAAUUUCUGGCUUUCUAAAUGAUUUUGCUUUCUGCCUUGAAUUUUCAAGGCAUAGAUGUCAACUUAUAGUAUAACAUUUUAAGACGAUUAAGUUUAAACCAGAGAAUUUGAUUGUUAUUCAUUUUGCUCUCAUGUUCCAAACAGCAACAGUGUAACUAGUCUUUUGCUGUAAAUGGUUAUUUUCCUUAUAAGCAUUUUAAGAACUAAGUGGCAAAUUCCAUGAAAAUAUUUCUCAGUUCUGUAUGCACUUUUAUUUAACAUUAUUCGUAUAAUUCUCCCCCCCCCACUUUAUUUAUAGAUACUGCAAAAGUAAGAAGAUAAUAGAUAUUUUGCUCUGAAUUUGGCAUCCAGAUUUAACAUUUCUCCCCUCACUCUCUUACUGGUGUCAUAGUUAUUAGAAUCAGCAGCCUGUUAACUAAUUGCAGUUUCAUAGGAUAUAUAAAUGUUUCAAGCCAUUAUUGCUGAAUGGUUCUUUAGUUAUUAACCUAGACCCAAAUCAAAGACCAGUUGGAUUUACGAUAUUGUUUAUUUGUUCUUGCAGCCAAAGUGCCAGUUCCUUUAAUAUGUGACCAAGAACACAAGGAGCAUCCAUAUGUCCAAAUAAAUACACUGAAUUUUAGAAAAACAUAUUACUUUGAAUUCAAAUUGUCGUGAAAACCAGAACAGUGUUUGUCCAUGUUGCAUGUAAUGAAAAUAAAUCCCUACUCUGAGAAAAGCUCUUUGAAGCAAAAACCAAACUUUUUUUUUUUUUUUUUACCUCCUGUCUUGCCCCCUGAAAGAAAUAAAUAAAGCAAACAUCUUGACUCUCC
rnacentral:sRNA from 1 species